GAUGAAGAACGCAGCGAAAUGCGAUAACUAAUGUGAAUUGCAGAAUUCAGUGAAUCAUCGAAUCUUUGAACGCACAUUGCGCCCCGUGGUAUUCCGCGGGGCAUGCCUGUUCGAGCGUCAUUACACCACUCAAGCCUCGCUUGGUAUUGGGCGACGCGGUACGCCGCGCGCCUCAAAUCUUCCGGCUGGUUCGAAUCGUCCCUCAGCGUUGUGGAAACUAUUCGCUAAAGGUGCGCGUUUCGGUCACGCCGUUAAACAAGCCAAUUUCAUUAAAGGUUGACCUCGGAUCAGGUAGGGAUACCCGCUGAACUUAAGCAUAUCAAAAGCGGAGGA
rnacentral:misc_RNA from 1 species